rnacentral:rRNA from 1 species
UACGAACUGUGCGAACGUUAUUCGGAAUCACUGGGCUUACAGGGUGCGUAGGCGGCUUGUUAAGUAGGGUGUGAAAGCCCCCGGCUCAACCGGGGAAUGGCGUCCUAAACUGGCGAGCUAGAGUGAGAUAGGGGUAUGUGGAACUUCCGGUGGAGCGGUGAAAUGUGUUGAUAUCGGAAGGAACGCCGGUGGCGAAAGCGACAUACUGGAUCUUGUCUGACGCUGAGGCACGAAAGCCAGGGGAGCGAACGGG